rnacentral:rRNA from 1 species
CACACCGCCCGUCACAUCACGAAAGUAGGUUGUACUAGAAGUAGCUGGGCCAACUCGCAAGAGAGGCAGGUUACCACGGUAUGAUUUAUGGUUGGGGUG